rnacentral:rRNA from 1 species
UACAGAGGGUGCGAGCGUUAAUCGGAAUUACUGGGCGUAAAGCGCACGUAGGCGGCUUGGUAUGUCGGGUGUGAAACCUCCAGGCUCAACCUGGAGACGCCACCCGAUACUGCUGUGACUAGAGUCCGGUAGGGGAGCGUGGAAUUCCUGGUGUAGCGGUGAAAUGCGCAGAUAUCAGGAGGAACACCAGCGGCGAAGGCGGCGCUCUGGGCCGGAACUGACGCUGAGGAGCGAAAGCGUGGGGAGCAAACAGG